rnacentral:rRNA from 1 species
UACAGAGGUCUCAAGCGUUGUUCGGAUUCAUUGGGCGUAAAGGGUGCGUAGGCGGCGCGGUAAGUCGGGUGUGAAAUCUUGGAGCUUAACUCCGAAACUGCAUUCGAUACUGCCGUGCUUGAGGACUGGAGAGGAGACUGGAAUUUACGGUGUAGCGGUGAAAUGCGUAGAUAUCGUAAGGAAGACCAGUGGCGAAGGCGGGUCUCUGGACAGUUCCUGACGCUGAGGCACGAAAGCUAGGGGAGCAAACAGG